GUGAGGUUAGUUAAGUUUUUAAUGAUAAUGUUAGGCAUUUGAAAAUAUAAUAUAAUAAGUUUACUGAUAUGUAUAUUGUAUGUGUAAAUUGCAGGUUGAUGUGCAACUUCUCCGGCCAUCUGUAAGCAGCAGCCGUAUUGGACUUGGGGUGACAGUGUUGACGACACUGAAGAACUUGUUCAGUUGUUUGGCAAUGACGCUGAACAAAAAACCAGCACUUCUGCCUCUGUAGAAGAAAAAGAUAAGGACAUUGACG
rnacentral:lncRNA from 1 species